rnacentral:rRNA from 1 species
AACGAACGCUGGCGGCAUGCCUAACACAUGCAAGUCGAACGAUCCCUUCGGGGAUAGUGGCGCACGGGUGCGUAACGCGUGGGAACCUGCCCUUAGGUUCGGAAUAACUCAGAGAAAUUUGAGCUAAUACCGGAUAAUGUCUUCGGACCAAAGAUUUAUCGCCUUUGGAUGGGCCCGCGUUGGAUUAGCUAGUUGGUGGGGUAAAGGCCUACCAAGGCGACGAUCCAUAGCUGGUCUGAGAGGAUGAUCAGCCACACUGGGACUGAGACACGGCCCAGACUCCUACGGGAGGCAGCAGUGGGGGAUAUUGGACAAUGGGCGAAAGCCUGAUCCAGCAAUGCCGCGUGAGUGAUGAAGGCCUUAGGGUUGUAAAGCUCUUUUACCCGGGAUGAUAAUGACAGUACCGGGAGAAUAAGCCCCGGCUAACUCCGUG